CUGCUACGGAGGGCGAGGGGGUGGAGUUUCUGUUUUGUCUGUGCACUUUUUUUCCCCAUUCGGAUGAGAUGACAACACUAGAGCAGUGGAAAAACAGCACAGGUUACAGAAAGUUGAGACUGUGCAGAUGUGUCUGAAGUGUGAACACCCAGCCCACAGAGUGCCAGCACCCUCAGGGAGACUUUGUGUACUCUGCUGAUGCUUUCAGACCUGAGGACAAGCACUGCAAAACCGCCAGUAUUUCAACUGGAAAAGCUUCCAGAAGUUACUGCAUUUUCCUCAGCUCUCUAAAGAGAGUGGGAUCUGUGCUUUUUAGGAGUCCUCAUCCAAGUAAAACCUCAAUUCACACCACAAACUCUGACCAACCACCAACAGGCUGGGGUUGCACCAUGUCCAUGUGAGCAUUUUAAUUGUGAAUUUUUAGUAGUAACAGGAAAUGUGCAACAAAAGCCACCUACUCCAUAAGGACAACAUCCCCUUGGGCUGAAUUUCCCCACUGUCCACAGCGUUUCACAGCCCUUGCUUAUGCAAGACCAGAAAAAGGGCAGUAUUUGGCAAUCAUGAGGUGGCAAAUACAUUUUUUCACAUGAGCUUGGGCAGAAAUAACCGUGUUCAACAUCCGCAGUUUGAGCAGAGCUUCACUCUGGGGCUCUGGGGCUUCCCAAGGCAGCUGCAGCAUGAGGG
rnacentral:lncRNA from 1 species